rnacentral:rRNA from 1 species
GAUGAACGCUAGCGACAGGCUUAACACAUGCAAGUCGAGGGGCAGCGGGUAGAUGAGCUUGCUCAUUUAUGCCGGCGACCGGCGCACGGGUGAGUAACACGUAUGCAACCUGCCCGCCACAGGGGGAUAAGCGGAAGAAAUUCCGUCUAAUACCGCGUGACGCGGCGCCGGGGCAUCCCGGUGCCGCCAAAGGGAUUACCGGUGGCGGAUGGGCAUGCGGCGCAUUAGCUAGUCGGCGGGGUAACGGCCCACCGAGGCGACGAUGCGUAGGGGUUCUGAGAGGAAGGUCCCCCACACUGGUACUGAGACACGGACCAG